AAGAGUACUGGAGUGGGGUGCCAUUGCCUUCUCCAUACUAUAUAUAUAUAUGUAUAGAAAAGCUUUUUAACUUGGCUUGGUAAAGGCUUGAGAAAGAGCAACAAUAACAAAAAGAGACAGAGAAAUUGGAAAACAUAAACUAAAUGAAAUGGGAGCACUAAAUAUGAAAUAGAAAAAGUAAAAAUCACAUACCCUUAAUAAAUACUUUUGAGCAUGAAUCCAGUAUGAAACUUUUCAUAUUUAAUCCCUUCUGCUGUGGAUUUUUCCUGUGAAUACUCAUUUUAGGGAUUACUGGAAUUAAUGAAGAAGAAUGGGUGUUCUGGGAGGUGGGCAGGAAAAAAGAGUAGAAUUGAAUUAGAGUUGAUUUUGGACAUGAUGGGUCCAAGAUACCUGAAGCAGUGCAGUCGUUUGAAGAUGCUUCAUACAAAGUUGGAAGUGAAUCCUAAAGAUUGUAUAAGGAAAACGAUACCAAGCUUAUGUUGGUUGUUUUAAUGUUUUAUCAUUUGAUUCUCAACUAAAUAUUUACAGCAUUUUGAAAAUGUUAUACUUGGCGGUUUAAAUUAAAGAGUGAGUAUUCUUAAAAUAAAUCUUUUGUAUAGCCUAAAACAUGAAGGUCUUUUAGAUUGUAGUUCAUUCACCUGUUUAGACUUCUUAGAAUAUUCAGAGGUAUCAGCCCUAAACAGGUCUUCCAAAGCAAGAGAUUCUCCAAAGCUCAGAGUGUCUUACAAAUGGCUUAUGUUUUUCAGUGACUUUCUCAAAAGUAUAAUUUUCAUUUCCUUCUGGCCAACCCUCCAUUACUGAGUUAAUACCUAUAAAGCCUAACCCAGAAUACUUUCAGUUUACUAAGACCCUACAAUUAUAUGAUUAAAGGCACAAAUGCUGGUUGAUGUUUUUGGUUUGGUUCAGUUCGGUUUGAUUUUAUUUUAAUUAAGGGUACUUCAGCCCACAAAAUCUUUUAUCUUGAUAUUCAAACCAUGUUUCCCUUUGGGGAAGUAGGGAUGAGAAACAGCUGUAGUUCCUCUAUCUUUCAUGAAGUUCAAUUAACUUUCUUCCUUUUGUCUAUUUUCUGUUCGGUGUCUGUAUCCAUAUCCUUGAUGAAUAUUUAUUGAAUGCCCAAAGAAUAGUAGCACUAUUGUAAGCUGAGUACAUGUUGAUGUGGAAAAGCACCUUUUCUCUUUUAUUGCUUACUGGAUAAAAGGCCCAAAGAACUAUGUCAGGUUCACAAAAUGAGUCUUUCAUGCAAAAUAGAUUCUCAGAACAAGUACCUGAAAAUGGAAACGUUCCUAUUGGACAAAAUGACAAAGCAAAAUCAAAUCUACAGGUCUCUGUAAUCCUACCCCUCUCUCUCUUCGACGGCAGGGGGCAGCGGCAUAAGAUAAGAAUGGUUGCUACCCCUUCUGUUCCUGCGCCCUGUACACAGCAGCCACAACUGGCUGCAGGGACAGCAGGCUUUUGAGGCUGAAAUAGAAGAUUAAGGCCUUGACAAAAUCCCAGAUUAGAUCAGUAGUUGAUAAAAAUUACAGUAUCUCAUUUUACAUCUAACACAUAUUAGCCUGAUCUCUUGUUUUUAGGUCUUCCAGAGAAAUUUUGAGGAAACAAAUAUUUGGGACUGUUAGUCAUAGAGUAAACCUCAUAGUCUAGGAUGUUUAUAGUUGUCUCACAGGUAGUAGCAGGAUGAGCCAGUAGACAGGAAGUGCUGUGCCACACAGUAACGAGUUAGUAAAUAUGAAUGAAUGAUUGCCGACAUCCCUUCAGGAAAACAACUUGCUUUGGUAGCUUUGCAGUGAGUCCGCAGUCUGUCGCUGCCGUGUCUUUGGCCGGCGUGCAACAGUACAAUAAUUCCAAGAGCAAAAGGUCUAAGACCUUUGUUCUGGUUCUGCCAUUUUAGUAUUGUAAGUACUCAGGGACUGACCUCUUUCAGACCUUUCUCAUUCCCUGAAACAGUCUGUUUCUUUUUGUGUUGCCACAGAACUCCAAUCAUACUCAUCCUGACACUUCUGUACACUGUAGGUCACACCCACUAGUGAAUAAUGAGGUGUUGUAAGCAGCAACCCAAUUGUAAAAGGUUGUGACCAGCAUUUUAUUAAAAAAAGAAAAGAUACAGAAUAGGGUAGAUUAGAAAAUACCACAGAGUGAAUCGUGUAUAGAAAGAGUCAUGUUUCAUAAAACUUCUGUUUUACUUAAACUUGUUUGUUUAUCCUGGGUUGCAGUAUAAAAUGUAUUUCUUACUUUAAGUCAUAGUUAAGAAAAUUUUUCUUGAAAAAUACUGUUGUAGUAUAAACCAUAUCAUCAUGUAAUUGUUUUAUAAAUCCCUCCCCUCUGCUAGACUAUGUACCUCUUAAAAAAAGGAAUCACAUUUUAUUUGUCUCUUAAUUUCUAAUAGCUAGAAUAGAUUUGCCUAACACAGGUGUUUAGUGUUUGUGGAAUGAGUGAAAGAACUGAAAUCUACUUAACUUCUCUGAACCUCAUAUUUUUCCUAAAUUAGAAUGUCACCCACCAGAUCUCUCAGUGUUCAUGUGUAGAGUGGUUGAGAUAUGGAUGUGAAAGUGCUUUAUUGUAAGAAUGAUGUGCAGAAUAAGGAUUAUCAUCCAGCAUAAAUUUUGUUAUUGUUGCUGGACAGGUAAGCUUCAGAAACUCUUAAACUCUUAAAUCAGUGUUCUAAAGAUGACUUAUUUAUUGCAGUACUAUUAAUAGUGCUGUAUUAUCCCUUUUUAGGUUGCAAGUUAGGAGACAGUCUUGAAAAAUUAAGUAUGUGCUCUUUCUUUUUCAUUUUUACAUUUUAAAUUAUGGAACAGUUAAUUAUAUAAGAUAACAAAGACACACUACAAGAUGGACUGCUGUGUACUCAGCUCCGCCUUCUACCAACAGGUAGCAACUCAGAGCCAAUUUUGUUGUUUCAUCUGUGUCCUCUCCUAUCUCCCGCUUCCUGUGUUACUGUGAAGCAUUUCUUUUCUUCUCUCCCACUCUUCUUUCUCCCCCGACCCUCUUCCCUCUUUUGCUUACCUCUUCAAGUAUGUAGAAAUAUUCUUAACAUUCUUUUAAGAUAGAAUCAUUAGCGCCAAGCAAUGUAGCUUGGAAAUUUAGACUAAAGUAGUGCAGUGCUGUGUGUGAAUGAGCUAUUCUAUGACAGGAACUAGCAGGUAAACAAGAUAUUUUAUUUCCCAAGAUUUUCAUAUGAUGGUGACCAACUCCAUUGCAAAACAAUAAUCACAUUCCAGAGUCGUAAGUAGUUCUGGAGGCUUAGUUACACAAUCACCAACUCUGUCAUCUUCCUCAGAAAUGUGACCUUACAGAAAAGUAAAGAGUCUGAAGCAUGACAGGUCACUUUUUAAGCUUUUUGAAGUUUGUUUUCUAUCAUGUAAGAAUCCUCAAGCUUUUGACCUCUAGCUAGGCAAGAAAAAGUAUCUGACUGAAACUUUUGAAAUACUGUAAAACUAUAAUAAACUCCACUUUAAGACUAUAGCCCCAGGCUGUAAUAUGUCACUUAGAAGUUAAAAUCUACUUGGAAGAAAAAAAAUUUUUAAUCAUCACUUGUAUUAUGAAUUCAUAGUAAUCUUUUUUUGGUUUUCAUAAUUUUGUGAUUUGAGCCUUAAUGUGAUAAAUAUAUAGAUCCAAAUAAUUUGAAACCCUAAAGAUAACUUAAUUCUGUCAAAUUUUACUUAUUUAGAAUUUUUCUUCCUUAAAGUCAACUGUAGAGACUUUUUUGAUUUUGAACAAAGUAUUGCUAAGUUUUACCCACUGCAACAAUUGAAUAGUCCAAAACUGCAUUUCUCAACUUAGUAAAAACCAAUUGUUAUUAGUCUAACACUGCAAAUUACCAGGGGUCUUUCUCCUUUGAUCUCAUUCUGCACAAACUACUCCAUUUGACGAGUAUUGUCUCGUAUUGACUUCUAUUUCCCAUCAACCCAAUUAUAAACUUAAUAUUGAUGAGAUUUCACCAUUUUAGACCCUGACUCUAUGUCCGUUUAAUCCUGCCUCUCAGUGUAAACUGGAGUUAGUUUUAGCCAGGUGAAUGCACUUCCUCAUGGCCUCUCUGGGUGCCAUUCUAACUCUUUCCCUGCUGUCUGAUCACAGCACAACUCUUGUUCAUCAAGGCCACUUCCCCCCCAUUCCUCUUCUCUAACUUAUGUUCUGCCAGUCCUGCAGGACCCAUUUCAAGUCCUACCUUUUCAAAUAAGCCUUCCCCAGUAAUAGCUGUCUUCCUGGCUAUUUUUUUUUUUUUUUUUUUUGAGGGAAGAAGUAUGACUUUAUUUGGAAAGCUGACCGACUGAGAAGAUGGCAGACUAAUGUCUCAAAAUAACCAUUUAUUGGGGUCUGGUUUCUGGAUGUUUUUAGUUCUUGAUUUCCUGUGUCAGGCAAAUGUGGAGUUCACCAUGUGGUGCCCCUCUUGAUCCCAGAAAGCAGAAAAAUGCAAAUACUCUCUGAAAAUUAAACUAAGAAAUGAACGUCUAACUGAUUAAAGUCAAGAAAGGCAACGUGAUCUUACGAGACAUAAGGACUCUGGGCGCAGAGAUUUGACUAACCUGAUUGAUGGUACUGACAUCUUUAAAACACACAAACAUACAAAAAUGCUCAGGAGAGCAUUUUCUCUCUCUCCAAAACAGAAGAAAAGAAAAACUCUUAAUGAAAUUGUCACGAUACCUAACAAAGCACUGUCUGACCAAUAGCACCUGCCCGGUGGAGGCAAGCAUCCAGCCUGUGUGCAGGUGGAUAGCCCUGUGGUACAGAGCUGCAGAGCCUCAUGCCAUUCUGCACUGGAAUCCUGCGUAAUUAACUCCACUUGCUCUGCUUCCGUGUGCACCAAGCUUCCCUCUGGUGAUUUGCCUUCCCAAGGAGAUAAUGCACUAUCGGGCUGAUGCAGAGUCAUCACUCUCAGACUGAUGCAGCGUCAGUAUGCCUGAUUCUUCUGUUGUUCACUGUAAAUAAUAAAGUCGCCUUCUUUUUUUUUUUUGUAUA